AGAGAACCACGGGCCGAAUUGGCCCGGGUAGAUCGACCGCGUCGUUUGGACCGCGUCACACGAGGGGUAACCCUGAGGAAAGCCACGACCCUAGACAUCGGGGAGGAAAACCACGGCUCGAGAUAACGACGGUGCCGUCGACCAAGAUCCAGUGCCCUGCCUGGCUGCCUCCUCCGCGUCCGAGCUCCUCCACCGGCGACAUAAGCGACGCCCUCAACCCCCUCCGUCUGUUGCUCAGGAUCCAAGCUCCGCCCCUCCAGCAACGGUGAUGGACCGCGGCCGUCACCGUCCUCCUUCCCGGAUCUCUACUCCGCCUCUAAGCUCUGGCCUCCUCUGGUGACCGCGACGACGACGGUUCUCUGUUCGUUUUCUACCUCCUCCGGUCAAGGUUAGCCACCACCUCCUCCCCCUCUUCAACCUCUAUAUAUUUCUCCAAUUCAUGCCUUCACCGUCCUUGAUGAACUUGAACGUCCAGAUCCAGGAAAGUGAGCACAGCCUCCUCUCAGAUCAUUUUCACCAUCGUCAAUCUCAGGUGAGCACUAGAUCUGUGCACAAUGUUUGGUUGCUGAUGUUUUAGUGGUUGUCCAGAAGAACUACACAAUGCUAGAUCCAAGAAUGUUUUAUUUUCUUGUUCAAACUUCUUGCCUAGAGUCCACGUAUCAUACCUGUGGCUCAGUUUUCAUUUUCAUAGCUAUGUCUCGUGCUCAUCAGACUUUAUGCAUGUCGCUGCUCCUUUGUGAAUGGGCAUAUUAAACACAUUGACAUGUUCUUAUAGCAAGUAUGAAUAAUGCUUGGUAGAUCAGUAGAUGGUCCAUGUUGUGUGUUAUAAAUUUUAAUUCCUUUGAUCAGUAACCAGAAUAUUGGACUCUCCAGAGAUUAUAUUCUGUCUAUGAUAAGAGCAAGAAUUUGUAUACCCAUGCAUACUAGGACAAAGUGGCUGUGCUUUUCCUUCCACCGGGAUCUCGACGGCGAGAGGAAUCUAUGUCAUGUCCAACCAUGGCGACGACCCGGUGUUCGUCUUGCUCCUCCCCUCUUCCACCUCAUAUAGCUUCUUGUCAUCAUGUCCUUGCAAUGAUAGUUGUUGCUCCAGAUCCAAGACGUGAUUGCACUCAGGAAUUAUUAUGGUCCGGAGUACAAAUCUUGGAGUGCGGUGAGCACAUAUUCCAUAUGUUCCCAAGAACAACUAUUUUUUGUACUAUUUGAUUUAUCCACCCUAUGCAUAGAGAGUCUCUCUUUAAGCCUGACUUCAUGUAGUCUCUCUUGUCCUAAUCAACAUUAGUUGAAAGAGAUGGAGCAAAGCGAGAUUUCUUGGGUGAAAAAACAUAUAUUGGUUUAUGCAUAGUUUUCUAAUUUUGCAGCUCUUGUGCCGGAGGUUUAUUUUUUAAAAUCAAGUAAUAGCACUGAAUAACAGAUUUUAGGCCACUAAUUAUGUAACCUCCUAGAUAUUGAUCAGAAUUUCUGAGUCCCCACCUAAUUCUACCUGCAAAACUCUGCCUAACCAACAAUAAAUUAGUUAAUCUUUGAGUUCAUCAUCCUUUUUUCUGUAACAAUCCCCUUGCAUUUCUAAUGUAGCCACGAUUAAUUGCCUAGGUUUAUCAGAGUUGAGUUCUUAUCAUUUUGCAGUGGUCAUAGUGAAGUCAUGUACUCUUCAGAGGUACUCAUGCCUUUGCUGCUUUUUUGUCGAUGCUUCCUCUGCUUUGGAAGUGCAAAACUAUGAUCUUGGUGUGAAUUAUUCUAGCCAUUUUAGUAUCUUGACCAUGCCAACGGUAUAUGCUAUGUUUUACAAUCACCAGUUGGUCCAUGUGUUUUCUUGGUUAGUUAUCUGAAAUAAUUUUUGAUUGCCAACUAUCAUGUUCAAUGCACCCUAGUGACCAAUAUUUAAUUUGACUGCAGAAGAAACAUUUUACUGUAUGGUACAUGCUCUUAUCCAUUUCAUUAUUUCAGUAGUAUGGUGUAUUGCAUUUCAGACUUUUCUGUGUAGUGCAUUUUUAUACUUUAUGGGUGAACUGAUUAAGUCACUCUUGUCUAUGUUUUAGACUAAUUACAUUGCAAUUUAACUGUAGGUACGUGCUUCAAUGUCAACUUAUCGAAGGCAGCAAGUGCCCCUAAAACAUCGAGCUGUGGUACCUGAUGUCGACGUGGAGUGGGGAACGAGCUGAGCAAAACUAUUGACCAUCACCUUGCAGCUCAUCUUCUUCAGUAGUGUGUCCGCCUCAAACAUGACAACUUGGGAAUUUAGAGUUUUUUGUAUUGUACAACUCAUUAGCUCCUAUGCUUCUGCUAUAGCUAACCUUUUGCCUUAGUUGUAAUGGUGCAGUCCUAAAAAUUGAGUACCAAUCUUAACAAUGAUGGGUCAUAUUAGGUGUAAUGUAUUGCACACGAAAACGAUUUAGGCUAUCACUUGAUCGCGGUGAAAUGUAGACCAAUAUCUUAACCUUGAUAAAGUGAUGAAAUAUCAGUUGUAUUAUUUUUGGAAAUUUAUUUAUUGAAUUCUGAUUUUUGUAUAUGCCUGUGGUUUUUGUAGUUUUUUUU
rnacentral:lncRNA from 1 species